CAUGGCAGACCUCAAUGCCCUCCUGACUGACGCACUUGCACAGUGUAUUCACAUGACACUACUUGGACCUUAUGGCACCUGCACACUAGGGAACACCAGCGACGAGAUCCAGCAGGUGGCACUCUACUGCAUGUUAAGGCUCCUUAAACGCUUACAGUACCUGUUAUUCUCAGGAUGUCUCCCAGCCAAAUCCUUACCACCGAUACUUCGAUACCACUACUUGUUUCAUACAGCACCUCCACACUAGAACAUGACAGGAUAUUAGGUGGCAAGAUACCCUGUAGCUUGGGUGCAUUCUGCUGUUGACUGGGAGUGCCUGGAUGCCCAGCCGCGGCAUGACAACCAGGAGUAUGCAGUGUGCCGUGACUGCACAGAUCACGUCUGCUGCCAUGGCUUUCCCAGGACCGUCCACUGCCUGGUGCUCCUGCUGCCUCAUGGUGAGGUGAGCUCUGCAUUGGGCUUGGUA